UUCCUUCUGCAUCUCCCUGUGGGGCAUUAAAUAGUGGGAAGUGCCCAGACCUCAUCAGCCCUGCUCCCUGGGCCUUCCUCCAGCCCCUCCUCUCCCUCAUCCUCUAAGAAGCUUCUGAAAACAGGCUGUCUGGGCCUAGGGCAAAAGCUGACCUUGGGUUUACUGGACAUGCCUCAGAGACAAUGAGAUGUAAGCAAGACUCUUCCAAGCCCCUCCUCUGUACCCUCCUGCUCUCACUCCUGAAAGCCCCAGAAGGAUACUGGAGGGGUCAGAUCCAUCUGUGCAAGCCCACAACCACACCUCCAAACCUGAGCAAACACCCCCAGCACCCAGGCCUCUGCAGACAUCCCCCAGCAUUGAGAACCCUCCCCAAGGGGAUGGGCUGGUUCUCCCUGACCCACAGCCCAGCUCCAGCAGCCCAUGGGUGUAGCCCUCCUGAAACAGGAGCCUCAUCCUCCCUCACCCUCACCUGGCUAUGCUGUACCCAAGGCCAAAGCCCAGAGAUAUAAGGGAGCUUCUGCAGAGCCCAGGACAGCAGGCUGCUCUAUGGGGGCCCUGGGGACUCAGAGUGUGGCCAGCCCAUCCCCGGCUCAGGAUAGACCACAGGGUGCUUGGUGAUUCCUGCAUUGGAACUCCCUCUCUAAGCUCCCCAUGAACCUGGACCUCAGAGGCCUGUGGUUUUCACAGUAGAGCUUGGAGCAGAGAUGCUAGGCCCCUGUCACUUCUGUAUCUGCCCUGGACACCUCUAAGACCAUAGAACUGGCCUAACCCUCAAUACUAGACACUGCCCAACCCCCUGAUAGCCCAGAGGUAGAGCCAGAGACAACUCUCCUGCAUGUGGUGCCUACAUCUGAUCACCCUUGGCAGACGGUGACCAUCAUGGCCCAGAAGGAGCCAGGGCAGCACUUGGCAAGCUGCCCCAAAGCCCCAGAGAGCUCCUUAGACAUGGAAAGUCAAUACUGAUAGGGAAGCUGGACACUUGAAGGCCACUGGAGGGAAGGGUGGGCAUGGCAUCCCCACAGCCCAGGCCAGCCAGCAGCAUGCCCUGCAUCCAUGGUCCCAACCUGUAGGGCAAAACCUCCCUCUCAACGCACAAUUCCCAGACCCAGAGGGCCCUAGCCCAGACUCAACCUGAGCCCUGAAAGGGAAGGGGCACCAAGGGUGCCUUGGGGCCCCCAGCAGCAGCCAAGAUACACAAGAGAUGGAGCCCCCUGUGGCCCUGGCCAGAACUAGUAUUUGGCUUAAGGUGGAGAAAACCCCCUUGGAGCACUGCCUACAUACCCGGGGCCUAUGUGUGCCUGGCAAGGCCAAGCUGAUGAUGUUACCAAGCUCAAACUACCACUGGCCACCUUGGUGAGGGUGGAGCAGAAACAUGUGGACCAGCCACCAACCUGAUCCAUUCAAGGAAGCAGAAAUGGCCAGGAUCCUGCAGGAUAAGUGGCCACCACCAGACCACCAAUGGGGCAGAGUUCUGAGGCCCAAGCAGAUGGCACUGGGGCCCUGCUUCCAGGGUCCACAAUCUGCUCCAGGACACAAGACUGAAGAAAACUAAGCAAAUGAGAGUCCAGGAGGCUGGAUCCCUCAUCUGCCAUUCUUGGCAGUUGCAUUUUGUGGUCAGAAAAAGUCAGGAAACGGCGCUACUCACUGCAGGAGGCUCCAAGGUGGGACCAGAACUUCCAGCAUAGAUUCAACAAUGCCUAAGAAAACCUCUUUUUGGGGAAAAGGACCCCUUCCUUGGCCUCAAAGCCCCCACUUAUUUUGAUUAAAGCCCAAUAAAGUCUUUGUUGUUA